AGUAUGAGCACGAGAUAGAAUAAAGAACGUGUUCGAAGAAGUCAUACAAUAGUUAAGUUUACAACACACAAUACUCUAUAUAUGAAAAUACUGUUUACAGUCAGGUUUAUAUUAACGUUUUUAUUUUACUUUAACAAACAUAUAGUAAGAACGUAUAAAAUAUAUGGAAAUGUGAAAAUAUGCAGACAAACUAAUUUACAACAUGUUACAUUUGCAAACAAAUAUAAAUUUGGGAAUACUAAACGGGUAAUGUCGAAUGCAGUGCUACUAAAUGAUAAUGUACAUAUUGGAAAAACAAGUGAUGACAAAACAGGUGAUGACAAAACAGGUGAUGACAAAACAGGUGAUGACAAAACAGGUGAUGACAAAACGAAUAAUGGCAAGGUCCAACAUAAGUUUUUAUUUAGUCCAAUCAAAAGUAAUAACAUUAAAGAUAUAAAAAGAAGAUUAAGAAUAAGUAAUAAAAAUUAUAAUUUAAAAAAAAAAAAUUAUAUUCUAAAAAAAAAGGAUAUUCACAAGUCAUUAAUUAAUGAUAUUAAUAAAGAGAAUAUAAAAGAAGAAUUACAAAAUAUAGGACAAAAUAACAUAAAAGAAAGUGCAUUAUUACCCUUACCAUUAGAUAAUAAGAAUUCAGAAGGUUAUAAUUGUUUAUUAUUAUGUAAAGGCAUACCAUUUCAUGCUACACGUUCACAAAUUGAAUAUUUUUUUAAGCCAUAUAAACUAAUAUAUAAAUAUAUUAUUUUUAUAAAUGAUAAAAAUGGUCACUUUUUUGGUGAUGUAAUUGUAAGGUUUAUAAAUAAAGAACAAAAGAAAUUAGCAUUAAAAAAUAAAAAUUAUAAAUUUUUAUUACAUAGAUAUAUACAAUUAUUUAAUAUAAAUGAAGAACACUAUGAAGAAUAUUUUAACAUAGGUUAUAAAAACCCUCCGUUAUAUAAAAAUUAUGUACCUGUUAAAAACAUAAUAGUCUCUAAUACGAUGGAAAGGUUUACUGACAGUGUUAGCAGUAUUGAUAUUAUUGAAAGUAGUAAUAGUAGUGUUAGCAGUAACAAUAAUACUGACUCAGCUAUUAUAAAUAACAACAUUUUUGAUGAUGAAGAAACAAAAGAACUUCGAGAAAGGGUCAACCCUAACGGUAUACUUUUGAAAACGUUAUAUACUGGUAAAAGGCUAAAAGGAAGAAUUACAUCUGUGCAUUCUUAUGGUGUUUUUGUUGACUGUGAUGUUUAUAUAAAAAGUAUUAACAAGAAAUAUAUAAAAAUUUUAGCUCUAUUGCAUAAAAAUAAAUUAACUAUAAAUGUAGGUCUACCUUUGGACCCAAAAAAUGAGCAGGAACAAAAAGAAUUAAUUUUAAAAAAAAAUAUGAACAUUAUUGUAUACGUUGACAAAAUUAUAGAUCGAAAUAAGGACUUAUAUGUUCCAGAUGACGUCCUUAUUUUUGGAAAGGGCACUACUACGAGUAGUAGUAGUAGUAGUAGUAGUAGUAGUAACAGUAGUAGUAGUAAUAGUAGUAGUAGUAACAGUAGUAGUAGUAACAGUAGUAGUAGUAACAUUAGUAGUAGUAACAGUAGUAGUAGUAACAGUAGUAGUAGUAACAUUAGUAGUAGUAACAGUAGUAGUAGUAACAGUAGUAGUAGUAACAGUAGUAGUAGUACUAUUAGCAACAACAGGAACAGAAAUAACUUAAUUUUUUUUAAUCUUACCUUAGAUUCUUCUAUCACAAAAGAAAAAAUUGAUUGGCUACAAAAAGCAAAAAUGAAGAGACAAUUAAUAACGAAUAUCAAAAAUAAUAACCCCAAAAAAAAAAUUGCAGAACAUGAAUUUUACUUAAAACCUGUUAAUAAUACUGGACAUUGUGAAAAAGAUUUAGAGGAAGUUGUAAAAGAAGAAAGUGCUGAUAAUACUAACUAUGCCAAACAAAGUGAUAAGCAUACUAAAAGAAGCUCAGGUUGUUAUAACAACAAUGAAAAUGAAUUUAUCAUAGAGGACCAUAACUAUAACUAUCUGAAUGAAAAAAAAAAAAUAAAUACUCUUACAAAAAUAAACUCAAAAGAAAAAACUGUUGUAAAAAGCAAAAUAAAUGUUAGUAAUCGACCUAAUAAGAUUUAUUUAAUAAACAAUUUAAAAUAUAAGCACAACUACAUCGGUGGUAAUGCCAAUACAAUAAAUAAUAAAAAAAAAAAUCAACAAAAACGUAUGAACAGAAUAAAUAGUAAUACAGAAGAAAACGAAAAUAAAAAAGAAGAAAUUGCGUUGCAAAAGCAGAGCGUAGACAUUAAUACCGAGUUAACAGAAAAAGGUAUAAAAAAAUUAUUAAAAAAUAAAAAAAAAAAACAAAAACAAGAACAAAAGCAGAAACAAAAACAGAAAAGUAAAAAAUUAGUUGAUAAUAUUUUAUUUAAUGAAUACGAAAAUUAUGAUGAUAAUUUUAGUGACAAUUUUAGUGACAAUUUUAGUGACAUUUUUUAUGAAAAUGCAAAUAAUACCAUGACGAGCACGGCAGAAGUAGGAGGUGUCGGAAGUACCAGGGUAAGCGAAAUAACCGAACUAACCAGACCAACUGAAUUUUGUGAAUUAAGCAAACCAAGCGAUAUAACUGGAUCAACAGAACCAAAUAAACAUAACAUGUACAACAAUGUAGCAAGAAAUAAAGAAAUGACAAAAGUUUAUGAUGAUGAAGUUAAUACAAUUUUAAAUGACAUUUUUAAUGGUGAUGAUAAAAAAAAAAAAAGUAUUUUAAAUAAUAUUAAUAAUAAAACAGAACUAGAAAAUGAUAGAGAUGGUAAAAAAGAAAAAGGAGAAUUAUUACCGAAUGUUUUGGGAGAGUUACAACUUAAUAGUGGUAGUAUUGUGGGUGGUCCGGACAUGUGUAAUAAUAUUAGUAUGGGUGGUAGUAAUAUUGUUGGUGGUAGCACUAAGAAGAACAUACUAGAAAAUAAUAAUAUGUGUACAAAUUUAGAAAACCAAAAUGAUCGAACAAAAUGGACUAGUGAUAUCAGAAAAGAAGAAUCACUUUUUUACCAAAAGCUUUUUGGAUUAAAAACAGAUAUCAAUGACUUUUACUCAGAAGAUAAAAAAGAAAAGGAUGUAGAUAAAACAAAUGAUAUUUUUUUAGAAAAUCUAGACAAUGAAGUAAAAAAGAAGGAAAGUAUUUUCAAUUUACAAAAAGAAAAUAAUAUAAAAAGUAUUAACAUAAAUAAAAAUGCUAAUAAGAAUCAUGAUACCAAUUGGGUUACCAAUUUUGACUCUAGCUGUGAUAAUAAAAAAAAAAAAAAUAAAAAUAUACUCACUUGUACAAAAAUGAAUGGUAAAAAUGAUGACGAUGAUAGUAAUAAUAAUAAUAAUAAAAAUAAUAGUAAUAAUAAUAAUAGUAAUAAUAAAAAUAGUAAUAAUAAAAAUAGUAAUAAUAAUAAUAAUAAUAAUAAUAAAAAUAGUAAUAAUAAUAAUAAUAAUAAUGGUUUAAACUGUUAUUUAAAUAAUUCAAAAGAAAUUGAUUUUACUCAUUUUUAUACAAUGUCUAUUGAUACACUUAAAAAAGAAAUAUAUAAAAGGAAUUUUUUAUUACCAAUAGAUAUAUCAAAAGAAAGUCUUAUAAAUCGUUUAAUACAAAUAUGUACAUGUGAGAAAAAUAAAAUUCCAUUUGAUAAUUGUCCGAUUAUUAGAUAUUAUUUAUUUGAUUUUAAUGCAUCCGUUGAAGAAAUAAAAUUAUUAGUAUUAUGUAAUAAACAUUUUUUAAAUAAAAAAAAUAUAAAUCAAAACUUUUUAAAUACAUUAGCUAUAAAUGAACUAAAAUAUCUUUUACAUAAAUCGAUGGAGAAUUUUCGAUUAUGGGAACCAAAUGAUAAUAUUAAAAAAAAAAUUUUAAAUUUAAACAAAGAUUUAUUAUUAAAGCAAAAUUUAAAUAAUACUGACCAUAUUAAAUCUCAUAAUUUAUUAAUAUUAUGGAACGACUUUAAAGAUUUUAUGUUAAACUGUGUAUACAGUGUAGAUAUAAAUAAUAACAGUUACGAAAUUUUUGAAAAUAUGCAAUUUAAUGAUUCAUAUAAUAGUAACAUACAUGUAAGAGAGUAUAUAAACAAAAUAAAAAUUAUCGAAAAAAAUAAUUUGUUUGAUAACAGCCAUGGAAAUUGUGACGAUAGUAGUAGCGACAGUCCAAGCAAUAAAGAAAGUAGUAAUAUGCUCAGUAACGUGGUAAACACACAAAUAAAUAAAAGUACAAUUAAUAAUAACAAUGCAUUUGAAACUGCACUAGCUGCAUUAAAUAAACACAUAGAAAAUAACUUAGAUGAUGAUUUGCCAGAUAAAAUAGACCUAAAAGAAGCUAUGAAAAUUUUAAAUGAUAGAACACAUUUAAAAAAAAUUAAACGCUUAUUUAACAACACGAAUGAAAAAAAUAAUGAUCAAGAUUAUAUUCAAAAAAUUAUCCAAUUGAUUUUGAAACAUCAAAAUUUGUUUGAAGUAAAACUAAAUAAAGACAUUCUAAGAGAAAAACCUUAUGAUGAGUUAAUCGUAAGUAGCUAAAAAAAAAAAAAAAAAAAAGGGUACUACUAUAUGGUGAGUCUGAUAUAUAUAUAUAUAUAUAUAUAUAUAUAUUAUAUAUAUAUGUGUGGAGUAUUACUUUUUAUUUUUUUAUAUUUACUUUUAUUUUAGAUGAUGUUGGAUAAACUACCCGCUGACGUACUGGAAGAGUUGCUAUAAUAAAAAAAAAUAAAUAAACA
rnacentral:lncRNA from 1 species